UUCACAUCCGGGCGGCUUUCCUGCUCAUCUUCCAACGCAAUCCGCCUCCCUUCCAUACGCUCUCGACCGGGGAGGUCCGUGGCAGCAGAACAAACUCCAGAAUCCCGGGCCCUCUGUCGGCAUCUGGCACCGGGCUACCGAGGAGCUGCUUCCCCGCUCAGCUGGUAGCACAUGACGCAGGCUCCGCCGAUGGUGGUGCACGGAGCCGAGCGCUCCCCGUCGGUGCGACAUCUCCGCGCUGAAGUAGCAUCGCUGGCUAACGUUAGCUAACAACAUCGAUCCCUGUGCUGCUCCACCCCCCUCUGCCUCCGGUCAACCCCACUACCGAUUCAUCACAUCGACAAUUGAUUGAUAGCUAGCCCUGGACCACCGAGGGCAUCCCACCCCCCUUUCAUCGUUCAUAAUCUAGUUCAACAAUCCUACCCGUUUCCACUUGGAUUUGGGGCCCGCAAAGAGAGUAAAGUUAGCGUUGCCCGUGACAUUUAGAUCAGCAAACCUCUUUCUCCGCUCUUCUUUUGCCUUGCAGGGGUUCGUCUUUUCUACCUCAGCAUCCCGAUGGCUCAAUUUCCUCCUGUUUAAUCACCAUUCCCGUCUCUUAUCAUCCCCUUUCCGAGCUCCACUGUAGCUCCUCUACCUCAACUCGUCAAGGAUUGCUGCCCUGCGGGUUCUGACUGCGGCGGACAUCUCUGGUUCUCACUCUGGUUCCUUCCCUCUCCAAGCCAGCUGGCUGGCCUGUUCCACUUCACACCCACCCACCCACACACAGAGAGCAGCAUACCCCCCUCUUCAUUAUCCCUUGCAGCUUUCUCCUGUCGGUCCGUCAUCCACAUCCCAGCAGAUCUCUGUGACACCCGCCCCGCGGCGUCCGAGCCAUGCCGGGUCCGGUGGCCGGUAGCAAGUCCCGUGUGUACACAGAUGUCAACACGCUGAAGAGUCGAGAGUACUGGGAUUACGAGGCCCACGUUCCCAACUGGAACAACCAGGAGGACUACCAGCUAGUUCGUAAGCUGGGCAGAGGGAAAUACAGCGAAGUCUUUGAAGCUAUCAACAUCACCAACAAUGAGAAGGUGGUGGUCAAGAUCCUGAAGCCGGUCAAGAAGAAGAAGAUCAAGCGAGAGAUCAAGAUUCUGGAGAACCUGCGAGGAGGAACUAACAUAAUCCGACUCGUGGACACAGUCAAAGACCCAGUGUCCAGAACUCCAGCACUCGUCUUUGAAUGCAUCAAUAACACAGACUUCAAGGAGUUGUACCAGAAGUUGACAGAUUUUGACAUCCGUUUCUAUAUGUACGAACUACUGAAGGCUCUGGACUACUGUCACAGUAUGGGAAUCAUGCACCGUGACGUCAAGCCUCACAAUGUGAUGAUCGACCAUCAGUUAAGAAAGCUACGCCUUAUUGACUGGGGUUUGGCAGAGUUCUACCACCCGUCCCAGGAGUACAACGUCAGAGUGGCCUCACGAUACUUCAAAGGCCCUGAGCUGCUGGUGGACUACCAGAUGUACGAUUACAGUCUGGACAUGUGGAGUUUGGGCUGUAUGCUGGCCAGUAUGAUCUUUCAGAAAGAGCCCUUCUUCCAUGGACAAGACAACUACGACCAGCUUGUGCGAAUUGCCAAAGUCCUGGGGACAGACGAGCUCUUCGGUUACUUGCGGAAAUAUCACAUCGAACUGGACCCGCGUUUCAAAGACCUGCUUGGACAGCAGAGCAGGAAGCGCUGGGAACAGUUUGUGCAGACAGAGAACCAGCACUUAGUAAGCCCUGAAGCCUUGGACCUGCUGGACAAGCUGCUACGCUACGACCACCAACAGAGACUGACGGCCACAGAAGCCAUGGAGCAUCCCUACUUCUACCCCGUAGUAAAGGAACAGUCUCUGUCGAACUCUGACAACAACAUGGUUUCCAGUGGCAACACUACAGCUCGAUGAAAGAAUCUGUCCAGGAUGAGCAGCAGGAGAAGCAGUGAGAUAUCCAACAUGUUGCUCUACGACACUUCCUCUCUGGUUAACUGGAUGGUCCGUUUGCUUUCACACUAAGUGGAGGAAGAAGGACGUUUGUUACCUCAACUUUGUACCCGGUUGUGACAGUAACUUUGACAAGUGUACAGUGACAAUGGAUCAAAGUGACUCUGACCAGUUACACACUCUCAGAUAUGAGCAUACGGAUACACACAUCAAUGCAAGCACACUUCUACAAACACAAACAGAUGCAGACACGUACACAAACACCCUCCUCCUCUGUGUCAGUCUGUGAUUGGCUUGUUCUGGUUCCCUGUCCGACAGCCUGACCAGUGAGCUUGAAGCUGCUCCCCCAUCGUCCCUCUCGACUGGUCUCUAACACCCUUCCCUCGUUUCUUCACCACCUCUUCAACUCGGCCUCAUUUAUGUCAACAGAGACAAAAUAUUCUUAAUGACAACUCAGUCCCUCCUUCUUUAUAUCGCCUUCUUCUAUGAUUGCAUCGGCAUGGAGAAUGAGCUGGAGAAAACUUUGAGUCCCAACCCUGAGCUUUCCAAUUCAAGUCUGAUUGACCAUCCAUCUAUCCACCUCUCCCUUUUCCCUCCUCAUCUUCCUCUCAAGCAGAUGAAAGGUGUCUUAGCACUACUCCAAAUCUGAAAGUGGCAUGGUGGACUCUCUAGAUAGAAUGAUAACUAUAAUAUUAAUGACAAAUAAAUAAUUUUUAUUUAGAUGAA